CAACCAUUAAGCCUUGUAGCUUAGCGUUGGGAGCCUACGUUUACAGCGUAGCUCCUUAAAGUCAGUGGCAGAGUCAGAGCACACUCUAGGCGUAGUAGUUAAUAUCUCGCCUCUGCAGUGGCUUUGGUUGCUUGCCGUAAAACCCCUAUAUCUUAUAUU
rnacentral:misc_RNA from 1 species